rnacentral:rRNA from 1 species
CGCGUAGGCGGCUCGGUCAGUCGGAGGUGAAAGCCCGCAGCUCAACUGCGGAAUUGCCCCCGAUACUGCCGAGCUUGAGUGCAGGAGGGGUGACUGGAACUCAGGGUGUAGCGGUGAAAUGCGUAGAUAUCCUGAGGAACACCGGAGGCGAAGGCGAGUCACUGGACUGCUACUGACGCUGAGGCGCGAAAGCUAGGGGAGCAAACA